rnacentral:miRNA from 4 species
ACCAAAGCCCCUCGAGGACAAU